CUAGGAUCUCCAGUCAGGUUCUGUUUAGGUUCUCUUGCCAGGUUCUGUAGCCAUGUUCUCUCGCUAGGUUCUCCAGCCAGGUUCUAUCCAGGUUCUCCUGCCAUGUUCUGUCUAGGUUCUCCAGCCAAGUUCUGUAGCCAGGUUCUGUCCAGGAUCUUUUGCCAUGUUCUCUCGCUAGGUUCUGUGUCCAUGUUCUGUCUAGGAUCUCCAGCCAAGUUCUGUGUCUAGGUUUUCU